GCCAGUCAAUCUUACUGACCAUGCCGGACGGACAGCAAGACAUGGCAGAUGAGAAGGUCGCAAAUGAUGAACCAGCAGGAAAACGUCGACACAUCCAGAUCAUCGAGAGUCGCGCUGAGACCCAGGAAGUAGAGGAGAAGGAGUCGCUCCAGACGUGGCCAGAUGAGACCCUGUUUACCUGACCAGGAGAAGGAGUCGCUCCAGAAGUGGCUAGAUGAGACCCUG